rnacentral:lncRNA from 1 species
GGAAACCCCGGAACUAGAACUGAUCUCUUCAACUACCUGUGAAAACUGAUGUGAUGAAAAGGGGAAUUUGAAGGAGCCAUUCCAGAAGACAGGGCGAAAACUGAAGUGCAAUCAGGGCCAAGAAAAACAGAAAUAGCAGGACCUGGAGUUGCAUAGGUUGAAUAGUUGAAUAGGCUGCUCUCCUCAGCUGGCAGGAAACCUGGCAGCCUCCUGGUGCCCAAGGACUGAAAACCUUAGAAGCACCUGGAGUUGGCAGCCUUGGCAUGGUCAGGUUGGCACCUCUGGAGGUGCCCAGGCUUCCCUGGCAGCAUUGUGAGCAGUGGAUGGUGUUGAAGGGCAGCCAGAGGAGGAAUGGAACACAUGCUCCUUGCUAACCACACGGACAAGGCCACGUUCACAGGUACACAAAGGACGGGGGUGGAAGGCCACCUUCGAUGGGUGCAUCCUCCACGAUGACCUGCUAACAAAGGUGCAUGGAUUUCAGAGUCUGAUUGGCCUACAACAGCAUUUGGCUUGUGGAGACAGUGGUUCCCUGAUGAAAAACUGCCAUGAUGGGAAUAGAAACAAUCAGAGGAAACUUCCGUGAGUUCCCAGGACACAUCCACCCACCUCCUCCACGUGUAACCACCACCUCUACCUUCCCCUCUGGUGCUGUGGAUGAGCCAUCCGUGCUCCUGGCAAAGGCCCACCUGCCACUUGGGCACAGGAACCCAUCCAUCCCUCCUUACCUCUGGUAACUCUCCCUCUCUCUCUCCUGCAUCCUUCAUAUUCUCUGGGUUGUAUUCUCUUCCAGCCCCCACCCCCUGCCCACCUCCAGCAUGUAAAAGUGCUGUUAUUGUUUCCACUUUAAAACAAACCCUAAAAAUAAGUAAAUAAAAUAAACCCUACCCUGACCCCA